UACGUAGGGGGCAAGCGUUGUCCGGAAUCAUUGGGCGUAAAGCGCGCGUAGGCGGCCCGGUAAGUCCGCUCUGAAAGUCCAGGGCUCAACCCUGGAAAGCGGGUGGAUACUGCCGGGCUAGAAUCCGGAAGAGGCGAGUGGAAUUCCUGGUGUAGCGGUGGAAUGCGCAGAUAUCAGGAGGAACACCAAUAGCGAAGGCAGCUCGCUGGGACGGUAUUGACGCUAAGGCGCGAAAGCGUGGGUAGCAAACAGG
rnacentral:rRNA from 1 species